UACGGGGGGGGCAAGCGUUGUUCGGAAUUACUGGGCGUAAAGGGCUCGUAGGCGGCCAACUAAGUCAGACGUGAAAUCCCUCGGCUUAACCGGGGAACUGCGUCUGAUACUGGAUGGCUUGAGUUUGGGAGAGGGAAGCGGAAUUCCAGGUGUAGCGGUGAAAUGCGUAGAUAUGCGGAGGAACACCGAUGGCGAAGGCAAUCCCCUGGGCCUGCACUGACGCUCAUGCACGAAAGCGUGGGGAGCAAACAGG
rnacentral:rRNA from 1 species